rnacentral:SRP_RNA from 1 species
CUCGACCCCCCGUGCGGCGUUCAUCCUGCGAACCUCCCCAGGGCCGGAAGGCAGCAAGGAUAAGCAGGCUCUGUCGGGUGCGCGGGGGGUCCCUUGC